rnacentral:rRNA from 1 species
CCUACGGGAGGCAGCAGUCGAGAAUCAUUCACAAUGGGGGAAACCCUGAUGGUGCGACGCCGCGUGGGGGAAUGAAGGUCUUCGGAUUGUAAACCCCUGUCAUGUGGGAGCAAAUUAAAAAGAUCGUACCACAAGAGGAAGAGACGGCUAACUCUGUGCCAGCAGCCGCGGUAAUACAGAGGUCUCAAGCGUUGUUCGGAAUCACUGGGCGUAAAGCGUGCGUAGGCUGUUUCGUAAGUCGUGUGUGAAAGGCGCGGGCUCAACCCGCGGACGGCACAUGAUACUGCGAGACUAGAGUAAGGGAGGGGGAACCGGAAUUCUCGGUGUAGCAGUGAAAUGCGUAGAUAUCGAGAGGAACACUCGUGGCGAAGGCGGGUUCCUGGACAGUAACUGACGCUGAGGCACGAAGGCCAGGGGAGCGAAAGGGAUUAGAUACCCGGGUAGUC